rnacentral:antisense_RNA from 1 species
GCCAGUAGUAAGGGGGUUUUUAGUGUGGCUAAAUUUAAAAAAUGUCGCCUAUCGAUGUUUGUCAUUACGUUGACGUAGCCAAUGCGUAAACAACGCAACUAUACAAC